rnacentral:rRNA from 1 species
CCUACGGUGGGCAGCAGUGAGGAAUAUUGGGCAAUGGGCGCGAGCCUGAACCAGCCAAGUAGCGUGAAGGAUGACUGCCCUACGGGUUGUAAACUUCUUUUAUAAAGGAAUAAAGUGAGGCACGUGUGCCGUUUUGUAUGUACUUUAUGAAUAAGGAUCGGCUAACUCCGUCCCAGCAGCCGCGGUACUACGGAGGAUACGAGCGUUAUCCGGAUUUGUUGGGUUUAAAGGGAGCGUAGAUGGGUUGUUAAGUCAGGUGUGAAAUUUUGCGGCUCAACCGUAAAAUUGCAAUUGAUACUGGCAGUCUUGAGUACAGUUGAGGUAGGCGGAAUUCGUGGUGUAGCGGUGAAAUGCUUAGAUAUCACGAAGAACUCCGAUUGCGAAGGCAGCUUACUAAACUGCCACUGACAUUGAUGCUCGAAAGUGUGGGUAUCAAACAGGAUUAGAUACCCUAGUAGUC